GGUUACUGCUAUCGAGGUUCGACUAAGCCAUGCGAGUCGAAUGUAGCAAUACAUGGCGUACUGCUCAGUAACACGUGGACAACCUACCCUUAGGCCUGGGAUAACCCCGGGAAACUGGGAAUAAUACCGGAUAUCUCGCGAAUGCUGGAAUGCGUCGCGAUAGAAAGCUCCGGCGCCUAAGGAUGGGUCUGCGGCCUAUCAGGUAGUAGUGGGUGUAACGUACCUACUAGCCUACGACGGGUACGGGUUGUGAGAGCAAGAGCCCGGAGAUGGAUUCUGAGACACGAAUCCAGGCCCUACGGGGUGCAGCAGGCGCGAAAACUUUACAAUGCUGGAAACAGCGAUAAGGGGACCUCGAGUGCCAGGAUACAAUCCUGGCUGUCGUAAUGCCUAAAAAGCAUUGCAUACAAGGGCCGGGCAAGACCGGUGCCAGCCGCCGCGGUAACACCGGCGGCUCGAGUGGUAACCGCUAUUAUUGGGUCUGAAGGGUCUGUAGCCGGCUGACUAAGUCUCUUGGGAAAUCUGACAGCUUAACUGUCAGGCUUUCAGGAGAUACUGAUCGGCUCGAGACCGGGAGAGGUGAGAGGUACCUCAGGGGUAGGGGUGAAAUCUUGUAAUCCUUGAGGGACCACCAGUGGCGAAGGCGUCUCACCAGAACGGAUCUGACGGCAAGGGACGAAAGCUAGGGGCACGAACCGGAUUAGAUACCCGGGUAGUCCUAGCCGUAAACGAUACUCGCUAGGUGUCGGCCACGGUGCGACCGUGGUCGGUGCCGUAGGGAAGCCGUGAAGCGAGCCACCUGGGAAGUACGGCCGCAAGGCUGAAACUUAA
rnacentral:rRNA from 1 species